rnacentral:lncRNA from 1 species
AAGAAAUGACAAACAUGACUGUGCCCUCUGGGUUAAUAUCACACUCUGGGUUAAAGGGAAAAUAAUUUUCUUCCUCUGUCUGCUUGUCUUUCUCUUUCUAGUAUACAUGACUGUGGCAUUACAGAUGUUGCUUGUUUGGCUCAGUCUUUGGCUGAAACAAAAGCACUGCAGUUUUUAAAAGAGCUUGAUCUGAGUAACAAUAAAAUAGGAGACUCAAAGCAGCAGCUCAGUGAUGUGCUACGAGACUCAAACUGUGAACUGAGCCUGGAGAAAGAACAAUCGCUCUUGAGGGCUGGUGUAAACUACAUUGGUAGCUACAUUGGUGGGUGGUUUACUCGGUCUAAAGCUCCGGAGGAUCCUGUGAAAUCAACAGAACAAGAAACGUCAUCAGAUGAGGAAUCCUCGGAAGGUGAAACAGAGGAGGGAGAAGAGGCUGAUGAGCGCUCAAAACAGCUGGAUUAGUAAGAAUACAAGUCUAUGGUAUAAGACCUUCAUCAUGAUGAUGUCAAGAUUAAACUCAUCCAUAAUGAAACAAUUAAAAUAUUGCUGAUCAUGACUGUGAAUGUAAUUUAGCACUUAUAUAUCAAAUAACAUAAACUGAGUCUAAAAUUUAAAUGUAAUUAUUAUGGGCUACAUGUACACAGAUUCAAAUCAGUGAUCUAUAAUAGAGUCAUUUUUAGAGAUCAGUGGUCCUGUCGUAUUUAUAUUUCUUUAUACCAUUGUUUAUUUUACAUUUAUGUAUGUUUUACAUUACAUUUCUCUUACAUUUUAUAUACAGACUGUUUAAAUGUGUUUUUGUAAGUUCUGUGUCUGUCUCAUGAGAAACAUGUCUCUGUACAUAAGACUCUUUGACUGAAGUAAGAGGUGUGGAUGAAUCUGUUCUCUCACACCGGCGCAGACUGAUCUUUACUAGUUAGAAUUUAUGCAGCAUAUUAUGUGCUUUCAGUCACUAGUUUAGAUUGUAUAUCGAAUGCGUUUUGUUUAGUGAUUUUAAUCUUCUCUUGUAUUGUAAUGUAAUGUGUUGGCAUAUUGUAACUAUACAAAUAAAAAACUUGAUCAUUUUAUUUUGUUUGAAGAGUUUAUUAAUUCAAUAGCCAGCUAUCAG